GGUUAGAGAAAAGAAGAAGGUGCAAGUUAAUAAGGUGUUCAGUGAGGGACGAAGAUGAUGAAACAGUCGCUAAACUUUUAUUCUUGCAUUCAUGUUACAAAGAAUAUUUUCGCAAAUAACAUUUCAUAUCUGUUCAGGGAAGGUUCUACGUCAACAAAUCUCUGCGAUGAAAACAAGCAUUAUGAUAUUGUCGUUGCUGGCGGAGGGAUGGUUGGAACGACGUUGGCAUGUACUUUAGCUCAAGCACCAAGAUUAUCAGGCAAGAAGAUUCUGCUUUUGGAAGGAAGCCCACAGCAAGCCAAGGACCUAAAGCCUCAGUACAGUAAUCGUGUUUCUUCUCUGAACAGUGGUACAAAGUCACUAUUGGAGUUGAUUGGAGCAUGGAAACAUAUUGCAAGUGCAAGAUAUAAAACUGUAAAGAAGAUGCAGGUGUGGGAAGCAUGUUCAGAUGCAAUGAUAACAUUCAGUCAUGAUGACAUGGCUGAGGACAUUGCUUAUAUUGUGGAAAAUGAUGUGUUGUUAGCUGCCGUCAACAAAGAGGUUAAAGAACUGACUGAGAACCUUACAGUUAUGCAUGAAUCUAAAAUAAAGGGAUAUGAGCUUCCACAAUGCUAUGGAACAACUUGUGAUGUUCGAGUUCACCUAGAGAAUGGUCCAUCUUAUGUCUGCAGCUUAUUGAUUGGAGCUGAUGGGGCCAAUUCCCAGGUUCGUAAGGCAAUGGGAAUUAAAUAUUUAUCAUGGAAUUAUAACCAGAUGGGAGUAGUAGCUACACUGAAAUUAUCUGAGCCAACUGAGAAUGUGGUAGCUUGGCAACGAUUCCUACCUACUGGGCCAGUUGCCCUUUUACCGCUUACAGAUGAAUUGAGUUCAUUGGUCUGGUCAACAUCCAUUGAGCAUGCGAAGGAGCUCCUAAGUUUCUCAAAUGAAAGAUUUGUGGAUUCCCUCAAUGAUGCGUUAUGGAAGAAACUUCCUCGAGAUAAGAUCGUUGAUGUAGCAACGCAGAGAUUCAAUGGAUUACUUGAAUCACUGUUUGAGAGGUCCAGUACUGUGCAACAGCUGCACCCAAGUGUAUCCAGUGUCGUAGAGGGCAGUAGAGCUGCUUUCCCUCUUGGGUUUGGUCAUGCUACACGCUAUGUCGGUAAAGGAGUUGCAUUGGUUGGAGAUGCAGCCCACAGGGUUCACCCAUUGGCUGGUCAAGGAGUUAACUUGGGGUUUGGAGAUGUCCGUUGCCUUUCCGAGUUGCUCUCUGAAGCAGUAUUCAAUGGCAGUUUACUUGGGAGUCUGCCUCAUCUUUUGAAGUAUGAGACUUUGAGACAAAGACAUAAUUUGCCAAUGAUGUUGACAAUUGAUGGCUUACAGAAAUUAUAUGGAACGACACUCACUCCGCUUGUGGUUCUACGUAGUUUCGGACUUCAACUUACGCAUAUACUUAAUCCUGUUAAGAAAAUGAUAAUGAACCAUGCUGCAUGUUGAAGGCAAUGAGUCAUGAAGAAAGCCAUUUGUUAGGUUAUGUUGUGCAAGCUGUCUGCUACAGUAGGAUGGGAAUCAUACAUUUUUGAACCAAAAAUCAAGUAUGUGCCACAAGGAACAAGAGGAUUCCUAUAUGAAUGUGUUAACCCACCCCCAAGGAUGAGACCUGUAAGGGAAGAGGAGGUACAUGUAGAUGCAGUCAGAACUUGCUUAGGAUGCAACAAUGAAAGGGAAUUAUAAUUUAUACUUGGUGCCGUAUAUUUCUGCUUCCACAAUAACAAUGGAAGUGACAGCUUCCUCCGAAACGUUGGUUGCCACCUACAAGACAUGGUAUCAGAACCCAGAAGACCGCAAUCCACAUUUUCAGCAUUGCAAAACUCUCAGAUAGAGAGAUGAUGUUCGUACGGUGACUUCUGGGAUUUUUCACCGUAUAGUCUAGUAGCAAAUACUGAACUACCACACUACAAAGUGCAACAUCCUAGAAGACAGCCAUCUUCUCAGAUUCUAUUUUUCACAUUAAGUUCACAUUCCUGGAUAUGUGUAUGGGGAGACCAGUAGGCUUACAUUUUCCAAAGAGAAAGAGCCAGGCAGUAGCAUCACCAAACAAUGACGGUUUUCUUAUACGUAUUGAUACAUCAAUAAACAGGAUUCAAACCGGUUCCUGACAGCUGGUGUGUACUGGCAUUCUUUAAAGGACGCUAUACCAUGCUUUGUGUAUCUCUUUACCUAGGGAAGGGGCACUGUAAGUACAGAUCACCUCAAAAGUUAUACUGCAGGAACUGUGGGGAAAAUGUUUAUCACUUCAGGACAGGAACCAUAUCUGUUUUUUGAUGUGUUUAAAUGGUCACGAAAACAAAACUAACAAAGUAGUACAGAGCUGUUCUUCGAAGAAAAAAAAUUAUAUUCUGACAGGCAAGACAUUCUCUUCACUUCCUUUAGUAUUCAUUUUCAUAUCCACCAUCUAUGCCUAGGUCUUCCAUGUAGCUACACCGUUCGUCUUAUCCCUCGUAACUGGCAAUGGCUGAGGUGCAGGUGGGGCCUAAAAUAGAUAAGGUGUCAGAACUAAAGGUGCCUAAGUACUACGGCGAGAAGAUGUAUGUGGCCAGCUUAACGCUGCAGCUGCUUUAUUACCAGAGAAAGAUGACCAGUACCAACAGGACAGGAGGCUGGGUGGUGAUUAGUGGAAAAGGAAAGUUCCUUUCAGAAGGAUGAUGAUGAUGAUGAUGAUGUGGUAAGGGUCAAGUUAUAUCUGGUACUUAACUAAGCAUCACAUAAUGCAGACAAAUGUCAGAGUGGAGGUAUAACUCUACACAUUCAGUACUAGAUGGGGUGCAUGGUUAGUCCUUGCCACUUCAUCCCUGAGGAUAGAAUCCCAGUACCCACUGGAAGGGAGGAUGAUCAUUGAUCCUGUAGCCUAGUUACUAUACUGACAGAGAAACAGUAUGUAAGGGAUAGCAGAGAAAGGGUCAGCUCAAUUCAGUAGGAUCUGGAAACAGACAAGGGAGAAUUUAUAAAAGAAAAAAUGGGGGGUCACAUAAUUAAACUUUUUAAGAAUUUGGUAAGAGUAACAAAAUUUGGAAACCACUGUACUGAGAGCAAAAUAUAGCUAGAUAAGAGCACAGAGAAGGAAAUGAUAAUACCCACAAUAUAUGUGUAUGUGGAGUGAUAAGAGAUGGUGCAUUUAGUGAACAGCAUUGAAUAACUUGUACCAUUAGAACAAUUCAUGGUUUCUGUUAGCAUGUGAUAAGUCAGGUAUUUUGCUUUGCUUUGACUGUAGUUAGCUGUAUAGUUACAAUUAUGUUCGGAAAAAGACUAGCCCGCAACCAACAGUGUUGCCAGAGCACUAGUCAUGCAGCUGCACAGCCAAGAAACGGAAAUAACAACGAAAUGCAUACCUCAUUUUUGUCAAUCUCAUCUUGCAAUGCUAUGGUUUCUUCAUGUAAUUGUUCUGCAAAAGGAAUCAGCAUUUGCUGAUUAUUAUUGACCACGAAGAACAAAUGAAAGAGAUAUUUAAGAUGCAUGCAAAUAAAAUAUGUAGCUGAAGAAAUUUUGAGUAGCACAAAUACUUUUUAAGACGAACACUCAUCACUGAUUAUUGGAAAAUGCGACAAACUAAAUUGAAGCACCAAAAUUAACUGUAUCUGUAUUAUACAUAAUGUGCUGAAAGAACAUGCCUUAUUCUUGAGUCUUCUCUGGCAGUUUAUAUUUAUUUUCUUUAAAUAAAACUAGGUGAAGUCUGCAGAGUUCUAUUGUUAUCAAAGCAGUACUCAGAAAAGGCUUGUAAGAAGUUUUAAAUCAUUCUGGUGAACUUCAUCUUUAAGACAGUUUAAUAUUUGUGUUACUGCAGAAGUACAGUGAACCCUCCCAAUUUCCUAAAACCAUAUAGUAGAAUUGUAUGCCCCUGCUGAGCUUAACAUAUUCAAAUAUAGUGUAAAAAAGGUAAUUUAAAUUAAGUGGCCUGAUAUUUUCAGGGUAUAGAGCCUCUGAAUAUUCAACAAAUUAUUGAAAUAUUGCCUCUUCCUCCUCUCCCUUCUUUUUUAGAUUUUAUAUCAUACUUUUACUCAAUUUGUUUAUAUUUUUUACCUGUACAUAUUUGCAAGUUCAGUUUCACAUUACUGCAUUCUGCAACCAAGAUUUUAAAGGUUAAAAAUAAUACAAGCCCUAUUUCUAGUCCAGCAUUUAAUACAGACUAUGGGUCUUACUGGUUGUUAUUUCUUAUGGUACACUGUCUGGACUGUCUUCUAGAAGAUAGUUUACUUCGUUCCUUAAAAGUUUAUUUUCCCUAAUGUUGAUGGUGGUGGUCUUCAUCAUGCUGCUGCUGAUGAUAAACAUUCUUUUUUAAUUUAACAAGGUUCUGCUCUCCAAUUGUAGCAGCCUCAACAUGCUGUCAGUAUGAAUUCCUGUAUUGUAGCUGGUCAGUCCAGUACAAAGAACGUGAACAGGCGUGCAGUGUCUAUUUUUAUGAAUUAUGAUUUCAAGAGAAGUAUCAAAAAUUUUAUUUGUCUGUAUUUGUAGCAAAAUAGACAGAAAUAAGCCCAUUCACCUUGAAAGAUUAAGCUACCAGAUAAAGCACAUUUAUUGUUUAUGAGGAUGGACAAGAAUCAUUAAUGUUUCCUAGUAAUAAAUUCAUAUCAGUGGUACAUACAGAUAAUUCUGAAUUAAGUAAUACUUUGUGAAGCUAAACAUUUGUCAAAAGAAAGCAAUAAAAUGUAGUCUCAUUUGCUGA